rnacentral:rRNA from 1 species
CUAGCCGUAAACGAUGGGUACUAGGUGUGGGUGGUUUCGAUACCAUCCGUGCCGUAGUUAACGCAUUAAGUACCCCGCCUGGGGAGUACGUGCGCAAGCAUGAAACUCAAAGGAAUUGACGGGGGCCCGCACAAGCGGUGGAGCAUGUGGUUUAAUUCGAAGCAACGCGAAGAACCUUACCAGGUCUUGACAUCACCUAGCAAGCCAUGGAAACAUGGCCCUCCUUCGGGACUGGGUGACAGGUGG